UGUCCAGACUCCUACGGGAGGCAGCAGUGGGGAAUAUUGCACAAUGGGGAAACCCUGAUGCAGCAACGCCGCGUGAGUGAGGAAGUAUUUCGGUAUGUAAAGCUCUAUCAGCAGGGAAUAGAAAAGAAGGUACCUGAAAAAGAAGCCCCGGCUAACUACGUGCCAGCAGCCGCGGUAAUACGUAGGGGGCAAGCGUUAUCCGGAAUUACUGGGUGUAAAGGGAGCGUAGACGGUGAUGCAAGUCUGGAGUGAAAGGCGGGGGCCCAACCCCCGGACUGCUCUGGAAACUGUAUGACUUGAGUGCAGGAGAGGUAAGCGGAAUUCCUAGUGUAGCGGUGAAAUGCGUAGAUAUUAGGAGGAACACCAGUGGCGAAGGCGGCUUACUGGACUGUAACUGACGUUGAGGCUCGAAAGCGUGGGGAGCAAACAGGAUUAGAUACCCGAGUACC
rnacentral:rRNA from 1 species